rnacentral:rRNA from 1 species
GGCCUAACACAUGCAAGUCGAGCGCCGUAGCAAUACGGAGCGGCAGACGGGAGAGUAACACGUGGGAACGUGCCCUUCAGUUCGGAACAACCCAGGGAAACUUGGGCUAAUACCGGAUACGUCCGUAAGGAGAAAGAUUUAUCGCUGAAGGAUCGGCCCGCGUCUGAUUAGCUAGUUGGUGGGGUAACGGCCCACCAAGGCGACGAUCAGUAGCUGGUCUGAGAGGAUGAUCAGCCUCACUGGGACUGAGACACGGCCCAGACUCCUACGGGAGGCAGCAGUGGGGAAUAUUGGACAAUGGGCGCAAGCCUGAUCCAGCCAUGCCGCGUGGGUGAUGAAGGCCUUAGGGUUGUAAAGCCCUUUCGGCGGGGAAGAUAAUGACGGUACCCGCAGAAGAAGCCCCGGCUAACUUCGUGCCAGCAGCCGCGGUAAUACGAAGGGGGCUAGCGUUGCUCGGAAUCACUGGGCGUAAAGCGCACGUAGGCGGCUUUUUAAGUCAGAGGUGAAAUCCUGGGGCUCAACUCCAGAACUGCCUUUGAUACUGA